ACCUAGGAUAACUCAGUCGGUAGAGAAUACUCUUAAUGAAGACUCUUAAUCUCAGGGUUGUGGGUUCAAGCCCCGUAUUGGGGA